UAGUCCACGCCGUAAACGAUGUCUAUUAGGAGCUUGUGGCCUUGAGCUAUGGGUUCCAAAGCUAACGCAUUAAAUAGACCGCCUGGGGAGUACGGCCGCAAGGUUAAAACUCAAAUGAAUUGACGGGGGCCCGCACAAGCGGUGGAGCAUGUGGUUUAAUUUGAUGCAACGCGAAGAACCUUACCUACUCUUGACAUCCAGAGAAUAUUCCAGAGAUGGAUUAGUGCCUUCGGGAGCUCUGAGACAGGUGCUGCAUGGCUGUCGUCAGCUCGUGUUGUGAAAUGUUGGGUUAAGUCCCGCAACGAGCGCAACCCUUGUCCUAUGUUGCCAGCACUUCGGGUGGGAACUCAUGGGAGACUGCCGGUGAUAAACCGGAGGAAGGUGGGGACGACGUCAAGUCAUCAUGGCCCUUACGAGUAGGGCUACACACGUGCUACAAUGGUCGGUACAAAGGGUUGCCAACUAGUGAUAGUGAGCCAAUCCCAUAAAGCCGGUCGUAGUCCGG
rnacentral:rRNA from 1 species